rnacentral:rRNA from 1 species
UACGUAGGGUGCAAGCGUUGUCCGGAAUUAUUGGGCGUAAAGAGCUCGUAGGCGGUCUGUCGCGUCUGCUGUGAAAACUCAGGGCUUAACCCUGAGCUUGCAGUGGGUACGGGCAGACUAGAGUGCGGUAGGGGAGACUGGAAUUCCUGGUGUAGCGGUGAAAUGCGCAGAUAUCAGGAGGAACACCGGGUGGGCGAAGGCGGGGUCUCUGGGCCGUAACUGACGCUGGAGGAGCGAAAGCAUGGGGAGCGAACAGG